CCAAAGGCUCUUUUAAGAGCCACCCACCUGGUCGAAGAGUUGCUGU
rfam:Homo sapiens chromosome 1, GRCh38 reference primary assembly.